rnacentral:rRNA from 1 species
CCCUGGCUCAGGACGAACGCAGGCGGCGUGCCUAAUACAUGCAAGUCGAGCGGAGCACUUCGGUGCUUAGCGGCGGACGGGUGAGUAACACGUAGGUAACCUGCCUAUAAGACUGGGAUAACUAUCGGAAACGAUAGCUAAGACCGGAUAACUGGUUUUCUCGCAUGAGAGAAUUAUGAAACACGGAGYAAUCUGUGGCUUAUAGAUGGGCCUGCGGCGCAUUAGCUAGUUGGUAGGGUAACGGCCUACCAAGGCGACGAUGCGUAGCCGACCUGAGAGGGUGAACGGCCACACUGGGACUGAGACACGGCCCAGACUCCUACGGGAGGCAGCAGUAGGGAAUCUUCCGCAAUGGACGCAAGUCUGACGGAGCAACGCCGCGUGAGUGAUGAAGGUUUUCGGAUCGUAAAGCUCUGUUGCCCUAGACGAACAGCAAGGCGAGUAACUGCGCUUUGUGUGACGGUAUAGGAGAAGAAAGCCCCGGCUAACUA